GGGUUGCUGAUGUAUGGUGCACCUGGUGUGGAUAUGAAGGCAGUGUCUGGUGCUACAUAAGAAGGCAUGACCGAGCCAAAAAUUGAAGGCGCAUACUGAGUACUGAUGAAUGGCCAAGCACUGAAACAAAUUGCCCAGAAGAGUUGUGGAGUCUUUUCCUUAAAAAUCCUCUGAAGACAACUGGCUGUUGUCCUGGGCACCCUGAUCUGGAUUAUCCCACUGAAGCCAGAGAGUGGACCAGGUAGACCCAGAGGCACUUUUACUUGAAGGCAAUCAAAUCUUUUCCACUCUGUACACAAGCUCCUUCCUUUCAGGCAAGUAAACUUUUUCCUCCCUCUUUAUUUCCCCCUGGUAAGCAAACAUAACCUAAAAGAAAAGGACAGAUUAAAGCUGCUUGCUCAUAAAACUCGUCUUCUUCCUAUACUAGGAAUU